GAGAGAAUGAGUCACGAUUGCCAUGUAGCUACCAGGAAGAUCGGACACCCAGGCAUUCUCUGAGAUAGGUUGGCUGACCCUGCCCUCCACUUCUGCUGCUUCCUGUGUGGUCUUUAAAUGGCAGUUCACACUCGUGAAGACUCUUUGAAGAAGACUUGAGCUUAACUCGAUGGAGCUUGUAUUGCUCACCCUGUUGGUGUCCAUGAUGGGAAAAGGCCAAAAGGCCGCGGUGAACUCCAGGUGAAGAGGAAGUGAGAUUAGCUGGCCUGGGAAGGCCUCCUGCUGCACAGGCGGAAACCCAGAUGGGUAUACACAGGCUGAAGGACUGGAUCAAUUUCGUGUAGCUCAAUGUGGCCUUGAACUAACAGAAAUCCAUCUGCCUGUCUUCUGAGUCCUGGGAUUAAAGAUAUAUGUCACUACCACCUGGCUCUAUGGCUAGCUCGUAUGGCUGCUGGGAUUAAAGUUUAUAAUAUCAGACAGACUGCCAGAUCCUGACGAUGACCCAAAGUCUCCAAAGAAGAUUAUGAGGCACCCCAGUUCCUGCACCUGGACCAGUGAGCGAGAUGCUCGGAUGUGAUACCUGCCGCUUGCCAGGACCUAGCCGAGACUGUGGACAAAGCUGCUGGACACUGGAAAAUUGAUUGCACCCCCUUUGCCUAGACAAAACAAGAACUCCACCUGGGAUUUAAUCUGGAAACCGGCAAGGGGAGUCCCCACCCCCACCCCCUCACCAUCACCCGGUGCUGCUGCUACAGAGGUUUCACAAUGCGGUUCUCCAGAGCUGCGCUGUGCAGAGGGUGAUCUGCUCAAGGUGCUGAAUCCCGGGGACCCUGAUUAGAGCAGAUGUCGCUGCGGGAACUGAGUCUAGACAUGGAAAUUGUGUCCCUAAUCUCCCAAACCCGCCUUUUCUACAUUCUCUGAAGACGCUGUUUCUGUCAACAGUCACUGUGGGAGCCAAGCCGGAAACACGUGUGCAAUCAGCAGCCGCAGCAUCUACAAAGCGUUAUGAAAUCCGUUCAAAAAUAG
rnacentral:lncRNA from 1 species